rnacentral:rRNA from 1 species
GACAGAGGGUGCAAGCGUUGUUCGGAAUUAUUGGGCGUAAAGCGCGCGUAGGCGGUUGGGUAAGUCGAAUGUGAAAGCCCGUGGCUCAACCAUGGAAGUGCAUUCGAAACUGCCUGACUGGAGUAUCGGAGAGGGUGGUGGAAUUCCCAGUGUAGAAGUGAAAUUCGUAGAUAUUGGGAGGAACACCAGAGGCGAAGGCGACCACCUGGACGAUAACUGACGCUGAGGCGCGAGAGCGUGGGGAGCAAACAGG